UACGAAGGGAGCUAGCGUUGUUCGGAAUCACUGGGCGUAAAGCGCACGUAGGCGGAUGUGUCAGUCAGGGGUGAAAUCCCGGAGCUCAACUUCGGAACUGCCCUUGAUACAGCACGUCUUGAGUCCGGAAGAGGUGGGUGGAAUUCCUAGUGUAGAGGUGAAGUUCGUAGAUAUUAGGAAGAACACCGGUGGCGAAGGCGGCCCACUGGUCCGGUACUGACGCUGAGGUGCGAAAGCGUGGGGAGCAAACAGG
rnacentral:rRNA from 1 species